CCUACGGGAGGCAGCAGUGGGGAAUUUUGGACAAUGGGCGAAAGCCUGAUCCAGCAAUGCCGCGUGUGUGAAGAAGGCCUUCGGGUUGUAAAGCACUUUUGUCCGGAAAGAAAUCCGCCUGGCCAAUACCCGGGCGGGAUGACGGUACCGGAAGAAUAAGCACCGGCUAACUACGUGCCAGCAGCCGCGGUAAUACGUAGGGUGCGAGCGUUAAUCGGAAUUACUGGGCGUAAAGCGUGCGCAGGCGGCUCUGUAAGACAGAUGUGAAAUCCCCGGGCUCAACCUGGGAACUGCAUUUGUGACUGCAGGGCUGGAGUGCGUCAGAGGGAGGUGGAAUUCCGCGUGUAGCAGUGAAAUGCGUAGAGAUGCGGAGGAACACCGAUGGCGAAGGCAGCCUCCUGGGAUGACACUGACGCUCAUGCACGAAAGCGUGGGGAGCAAACAGGAUUAGAUACCCUGGUAGUCCACGCCCUAAACGAUGUCAACUAGUUGUCGGGGAUUCAUUUCCUUGGUAACGCAGCUAACGCGUGAAGUUGACCGGCUGGGGAGUACGGCCGCAAGGUUAAAACUCAAAGGAAUUGACGG
rnacentral:rRNA from 1 species